rnacentral:rRNA from 1 species
UUGAAAGGGAAACGAUUGAAGUCAGUCGUGCUGGCGCGAAAUCAACCCUCUCGUCGAGAGGUCACAUGGCGUGGCGAGCCUCAAAACCGUCACGAAGCGUGAACUCUUGGCGAAAAGGAGCAUUUUUGUGUCCGCUGGUUAACAUCAAUUUCGAACGUCAUAAAAAGGCUGGAGGGAUGUGGCUCCUUCGGGAGUGUUAUAACCUUUGGCGGAAUGUGGUGGUCGGGAUUGAGGAUUGCAACGAAUACCUUUAGGGCUGUUCCACCUGGCUUCUCUUUGGUAUCCUGGUGAAGACAGCUCGCUGACGUUGUUAGGAUUCGCCUUUGAACAGGCUAGAGUGUGAGCAAAUUCGUUAAGGAUGUUGACGUA